UGGGGGAUAUUGCGCAAUGGGGGCAACCCUGACGCAGCAACGCCGCGCGAAGGAUGAAGGUUUUCGGAUUGUAAACUUCUUUUAUUAAGGACGAAAAAUGACGGUACUUAAUGAAUAAGCUCCGGCUAACUACGUGCCAGCAGCCGCGGUAAUACGUAGGGAGCAAGCGUUGUCCGGAUUUACUGGGUGUAAAGGGUGCGUAGGCGGCUUUGCAAGUCAGAUGUGAAAUCUAUGGGCUCAACCCAUAAACUGCAUUUGAAACUGUAGAGCUUGAGUGAAGUAGAGGCAGGCGGAAUUCCCCGUGUAGCGGUGAAAUGCGUAGAGAUGGGGAGGAACACCAGUGGCGAAGGCGGCCUGCUGGGCUUUAACUGACGCUGAGGCACGAAAGCGUGGGUAGCAAACAGGAUUAGAUACCCUGGUAGUCCACGCUGUAAACGAUGAUUACUAGGUGUGGGGGGUCUGACCCCUUCCGUGCCGGAGUUAGCACAAUAAGUAAUCCACCUGGGGAGUACGGCCGCAAGGUUGAAACUCAAAGGAAUUGACGGGGGCCCGCACAAGCAGUGGAGUAUGUGGUUUAAUUCGAAGCAACGCGAAGAACCUUACCAGGUCUUGACAUCCAACUAACGAAGUAGAGAUACAUUAGGUGCCCUUCGGGGAAAGUUGAGACAGGUGGUGCAUGGUUGUCGUCAGCUCGUGUCGUGAGAUGUUGGGUUAAGUCCCGCAACGAGCGCAACCCUUGCUAUUAGUUGCUACGCAAGAGCACUCUAAUAGGACUGCCGUUGACAAAACGGAGGAAGGUGGGGACGACGUCAAAUCAUCAUGCCCCUUAUGACCUGGGCUACACACGUACUACAAUGGAUGUUAACAGAGGGAAGCAAGACAGCGAUGUGGAGCAAACCCCUAAAAACAUUCUCAGUUCAGAUUGCAGGCUGCAACCCGCCUGCAUGAAGAUGGAAUUGCUAGUAAUCGCGGAUCAGCAUGCCGCGGUGAAUACGUUCCC
rnacentral:rRNA from 1 species